rnacentral:lncRNA from 1 species
AGUAGCUGAGCAGUCUUGAAUGGUCCCAUAUUCUAUGCUCUGUGUCCUGCCGUUGUGUGCUGUGAAUCGUGUUCAGGCAAGGUCUGAAGUUGCGACAUGGUGAGCACAGGGUCACUGCCAACAAUGGGGAGCAGCGCGAGCUGCUGUGGUGGGUCUUUCCCAGGACAGAGUGGGAAUCGGCGGCCACUUGUGAGGUCCCCUGAGGUCCUAGCCAUUCGCGGGACCCAGCUGUAGCAUCUAUAUAACUUCACUGUGGGGGCUGCAUCUGUGCAGAGCAUUUGGCCUGUGUGUAGAGAGAUCUUUGGCGUGAUCCCAAACUCAGAGAGUCCGACUUUCUACAAGUUCUGUUCUUAGCAUUUGACAUUAAGGUGGACAACCCAUUUGGAGUUAAUUUUGUGGAGGUUGUAAAAGGCAUCUCAUGUGCUGGGUAGCAAUUCACUAUCAAGCUGUGAUGUAAAAGAGUAGAAUUGAUGAUGUAAAGGAUUUACUAAAGCUUAGCGGAUAGUAAGGCACUCCAAGUAGAAUUUAGCUGAGGGUGCACUGCAUGUAACACAUCCCACAGAUAAGUAAUAUGCUAACCAGGGCAGUUAGAGUUUAGGAUGCUAGGAUACACAUGCUUGUUCACCAGGAUUGUCUAGAAUUCAUAACAAUGGAAUCAAACUAGAUUUACAACCAGCAUCUAGGCCCACCUCCAGAUCAAAGAGCAGGCCUCUAACCAGCUGCUCAAUGGGGCAUUACAGGGUCACAAUCUACAGUAAGGCCUGGUGAGCCAUAAAAGUUCAGUUUUCUUCUUGAGAAAAGGAUAGUUAUGCCACAUGGGCAGGAUGACACCUAGUGACAAUCAUGUGAAAAGAGAAAAAAG